GCUAGGCAUGGUGACAUGUGCCUGUAGUCCUAGCUACUUGGGAGGCUGAGGCAGGAGGAUUGCUUGAGCCCAGGAGGUCGAGGCUGCAGUGAGCUAUGACUGCAGCACUGCACUCCAGCCCUGGGCAACAGAGCAAGACCCUGCCUCAA
ensembl:misc_RNA Metazoa_SRP Metazoan signal recognition particle RNA